UAGAGGGGUACAGUGUACACCCAAGAACUCAGGUGGCAGUGUAUCUUUUACUGUCUGCUAACCACUUAGCACCUCCUGUAUCAUCUCACAAACUAGUCCUGUUAUUGGCUAUUUCUUCCACUUGGAACUUAUGUCUCCUAAAUUUAUAGUUUAUUGCUAGGAAAUCACAAUCUGUACGUAUGUGUGGUUUUAACAGUGAAGGUUAAAAUGAAAAUAUGUAAUAUCUAAUUUUUCUUAAAGUGAACUUUCAGGUUCGAAUCACAGUAAGAGAUAAUUAAUAAUACUAGUUUGAACUUCACUUGAGCAUUUCUCCUAAGCUAACGUCUGUGUUUUACAUCAGGCUAUAUUGUACUUUUCAGUACGGAGCAUCGAACCCAGGACCUUGUGUUUGCCAGCCAGGUGCAACGCCACUGAGAUACAUCCCCAGCCCAUGAGGAUAUGUUUCUGGACACUCACUCCAGCGGCGUAAAGAAGAUGGACAUCAAAUAACACAAAGAGAGCAGGACUCUAGUGAUUACAUCUUUCAUCAAGAUGGAGCAACAGAGACCAGAUUCAAUACUGCUCCUGAAACAGCCAGAAAUUCUACAAUAUCUAUGAAAUACCCGCUUUGAAAACACUGGUUAUCAGGAAAUGAAGGACAGUGUUUGUGGAAAAGUAGAGCAACAAUGAGG
rnacentral:lncRNA from 1 species